rnacentral:lncRNA from 1 species
AUGUCCCCAAAGUCCCCAAAUCCCCCAAUUGUCCCCAAAUCCCCCAAAUGUCCCCAAAUCCCCCAAUUGUCCCCAAAUCCCCCAAAUGUCCCAAAUGUCCCCAAAUCCCCCCAAAUCUCCCAAAAGUCCCCAAAUCCCCUCCAUGUCCCAAAUGUCCCCAAAUCCCCCCAAAUCUCCCAAAAUCCCCCAAUUGUCCCCAAAUAUCCCAAAUCCCCCAAAUGUCCCCAAUCCCCUCAAUGUCCCCAAUGUCCCCAAAUGUCCCCAAACGCCCCAAAUGUUCCCAAAUCCCCCAAAAUGUCCCCAAAUCCCCUCAAUGUCCCAAAUGUCCCCAAAGUCCCCAAAUCCCCCAAAGUCCCCAAAUUCCCCAAUUGUCCCCAAAUCCCCCAAAUAUUCCAAAUUCCCCAAAUGUCCCCAAAUCCCCCCAAAUAUCCCAAAUCCCCCAAAUGUCCCCAAACCCCCCAAAUGUCCCAAAGUCCCCAAAUCCCCUCAAUGUCCCAAAUGUCCCCAAAUCUCCCCAAUGUCCCCAAAUGUCCCAAAUCCCCCAAUUGUCCUCAAAUCCCCCAAAAUGUCCCCAAAUCCCCCAAAAUGUCCCCAAAUGUCUCAAAUCCCCUCAAUGUCCCAAAUUCCCCAAAUCCCCCAAAGUCCCCAAAUCACCUCAAUGUCCCAAAUAUCCCAAAUCCCCCAAUUGUCCCCAAAUCCCCCAAAUGUCCCCAAUCCCCUCAAUGUCCCCAAUGUCCCCAAAUCCCCCAAAUGUCCCCAAAUAUCCCCAAAUCCCCCAAAUGUCCCAAUUGUCCCCAAAUCCCCUCAAUGUCCCCAAAUCCCCCAAAUCCCCCAAACGUCCCCAAAUCCCCUCAAUGUCCCCAAAUCCCCCAAAUCCCCCAAACGUCCCCAAAUCCCCCAAAAUGUCCCCAAAUCCCCCAAAUCACCUCAAUGUCCCAAAUGUCCCCAAUGUCCCAAAUCCCCUCAAUGUCCCAAAUGUUAACAAAUGUCCCCCAAAUGUCCCCAAUGUCCCCAAAUCCCCCAAUAUUCCCAAAUCCCCCAAAUGUCCCCAAAUCCCCCAAAUGUCCCCAAAUCCCCCCAAAUAUCCCAAAUCCCCUCAAUGUCCCCAAUCCCCCAAAUGUCCCCAAAUCCCCCAAAUGUCCCCAAAUCCCCCAAAUGUCCCCUAAAUCCCCCAAAUGUCCCCAAUCCCCUCGAAGUCCCCAAUGUCCCCAAAUCCCCCAAAAUGUCCCCAAAUCCCCCAAAAUGUCCCCAAAUGUCCCAAAUGUCCCAAAUCCCCCAAAAUGUCCCCAAAUCCCCCAAAUGUCCCCAAUCCUCUCAAUGUCCCAAAUGUCCCCAAAUCCCCCAAACCCCCCGAAUCCCCCCAAAUGUCCCCAAAAUGCCCCCAAAAUCCCCCAAAUGUCCCCAAAUGUCCCCAAAUCCCCCAGAAUGUCCCCAAAAGGUGUCCCGGACCUGCCCUGUCCCCGUGGUGGCUCCUGCCACGCUUGGCCUUGGUGGCUUUGGUGUCCUUGGUGUCCUUGGUGUCCUUGGUGUCCUUGGUGUCCUUGGUGUCCUUGGUGGCCCCGGUGGCUUUUGUCCCCUUGGUCCCUUUGGUGUCCCGGGCGUCGCCGUCGGCCUCGUCCUCGCUGGAGCUGUGCUUGGGUUUGGGGGCUGAGAGACGAAAAGGGACAAAAUCCACCCAAAAAUCCAUCCCAAAGCCUAAAAAUCCACCACAAAAACCCAAAAUCCCAAAAAUCCAGCCCAAAAACCCAAAAAUCCACCCCAAAAAACCCAAAAUCCCAAAAAUCCAGCCCAAAAAACCCCAAAAUCCACUAA